GUAAAGGGUGUGUAGGCUGCUUUCAAAAUCAUAUCUUUCAAAUAGCUCUUAUAACGAAGAUCUGUUUAAAGGCAWMAUACUUUAAAUAUCUUCWUUCUAAGGUAAAGAUAGGAUGAAUAAAAGCUAGAAUCAAAACGAGGAUAAGCCAAAUAAUACUUAGAGUAGGGUSGAUAUCCGUAGAUACUAAGUGGAAUAUUAAAAGUGAAAACUAUUUAUCUAGAAAUGAUUGACGCUGAGAWACGAAGGUGAGAAUAGGAAAUAGGAUUAGAUACCCAGAUACCUCUCACUGUCAACG
rnacentral:rRNA from 1 species